rnacentral:rRNA from 1 species
UGGGGAAUAUUGCACAAUGGGCGCAAGCCUGAUGCAGCAACGCCGCGUGAACGAUGAAGGUCUUCGGAUCGUAAAGUUCUGUUGCAGGGGAAGAUAAUGACGGUACCCUGUGAGGAAGCCCCGGCUAACUACGUGCCAGCAGCCGCGGUAAUACGUAGGGGGCUAGCGUUAUCCGGAUUUACUGGGCGUAAAGGGUGCGUAGGUGGUCUUUCAAGUCGGUGGUUAAAGGCUACGGCUCAACCGUAGCUAGCCUCCGAAACUGGAAGACUUGAGUGCAGGAGAGGAAAGUGGAAUUCCCAGUGUAGCGGUGAAAUGCGUAGAUAUUGGGAGGAACACCAGUAGCGAAGGCGGCUUUCUGGACUGCAACUGACACUGAGGCACGAAAGCGUGGGUAGCAAACAGG